UACGGGGGGGGCAAGCGUUGUUCGGAAUUACUGGGCGUAAAGGGUGCGUAGGCGGUUCCAUAAGUCAGUGGUGAAAUACUCUAGCUUAACUAGAGGGGUGCCAUUGAUACUGCGGAACUUGAGUGAAGUCGAAGUAGGCGGAAUUGACGGUGUAGCGGUGAAAUGCUUAGAUAUCGUCAAGAACACCGAUAGUGAAGACAGCUUACUAGGCUUAUACUGACGCUGAGGCACGAAAGUGUGGGGAUCAAACAGG
rnacentral:rRNA from 1 species